rnacentral:rRNA from 1 species
CCUACGGGGUGCUGCAGUGGGGAAUAUUGCACAAUGGGGGAAACCCUGAUGCAGCGACGCCGCGUGAGUGAAGAAGUAUUUCGGUAUGUAAAGCUCUAUCAGCAGGGAAGAAAAUGACGGUACCUGAUUAAGAAGCCCCGGCUAACUACGUGCCAGCAGCCGCGGUAAUACGUAGGGGGCAAGCGUUAUCCGGAUUUACUGGGUGUAAGGGGAGCGUAGACGGCAGCACAAGUCUGGAGUGAAAUGCCGGGGCUUAACCACGGAACUGCUGUGGAAACUGUGCAGCUAGAGUGCAGGAGAGGUAAGUGGAAUGCGUGGUGUAGCGGUGAAAUGCGUAGAUAUUAGGAGGAAC